AGGGUCUCUCCUCAGAGUCGGGUUGCUUGAGAGUGCAGCCCUAAGUGGGUGGUAAACUCCAUCUAAGGCUAAAUAUGACCACGAGACCGAUAGCGAACAAGUACCGUGAGGGAAAGUUGAAAAGCACUUUGAAGAGAGAGUUCAAGAGUACGUGAAACCGUUCAGGGGUAAACCUGAGAAACCCGAAAGGUCGAAAGGGGAAAUUCAUUCGCGUCUCGGCUGUCGGCGAUGAACGGUCGUGUGACGGAUGGCGCUCGCGUCGUCUGCGCCUUCUGUUUUUCGAACCGAUGUCGAACGCGUGCACUUUUCCCCUAGUAGGACGUCGCGAUCCGUUAGGUGUCGGUCUACGGCUCGCGGUGGAGUCCGUGUGCGAUCGUUUCGGCGAUUCGUGCUCGAACCCGCGGUGUCCCGGCCGACUCGCUCGACGGUAUACAGAUGGCGCGAGGCCGCUACAUUAAUUAGCGUCCGACCCACGGCAAGCGCGU
rnacentral:rRNA from 1 species